AAGACAGCUGGGCUAGAAAUCAGAACCCCUGGAUCCGACCUCGAGUUCUGCUAUAUAUAUAAUAAGCCUGUGUCCUUGGACAAAGAAUUUGAUUUCAGUUUCUCCAUCCGUAGAGCAUGGAUAAUUACUUGCCCUGUUUGCCUGCAGGAUUAAUUUUUGAAACCCGAUGAAAGUAAGACUUUGAAAUGCCCCAGGUGCAGUUUGAUAGGAUUGAUGAUGAGGACGUGGCAAUGUGCAUCUCUAAGGGCUGGUACCUCAUGCCUAAUGUGAUCUGGCUUGACCCAGCAGAGAGGGACCUGAGCAACCACAGUACCGUGGAGGUCCUGGAGGAGCAGAUGAAUGGCUUCCACAGGGUGCUGUCUGUCCUGAAAUACCCUGUCAAGUUAAAUGAGAAAUGUGUCUGCUGCAUAACAGAGACAGAUGUGAACAACCAGCCCUUCAGAAUCAUCCACAAAUACCCAAGUAAGUGAGUGAAAGCAGGGUGUAUUUCACCACAAAGAAAGGAAGUAAAAUAAUAAUAAUAAUAAUAAUUAGAAGUAGUAGUAACAGUUACUUGUUAUAUCUACAUGACAGGAUUAUAGACAAUUUUUAUUUUCUUCUCUGUACUUGUCUGUCUUAUGCAACAUUCUAUAAUGAACACAUAUUAUCUUUAUAGUCCAAAAAAAGCUAUACUUUAAAAAGUCUUUUUAAACACUUUUAUAAAAUAUAACUCACAUGCUAUAAAAUUUACCCAUUUAAAAUGUACAAUUCAUUGUUUUAGUAUAUUCACAGUUGUUCGUCCAUCACCACUAUCUAAUUUUAGAACAUUUUCAUUACCCUAAAAAGAAACCCCAUCUCUAUCAUCAGUCCCUCUCCAUUCCUAUCAUCACAUCCCCUAGUCAUAGGCAAACACUAACCAUCUUUCUGAUGAUAUAGAUUUGCCUAUUUGGACCUUUCAUGUAAAUGGAAUCAUACAAUUUGUGGUAACUGACGUCUUUCAUUCAGCAUGAUGUUUUCAAGGUUCAUCAUGUUGUAGCAUGUACUGGUACUUCAUUUAUUUUUAUUGCUGAAUAAUAUUCCAUUGUAUGGCUAUACCAUAUUCUACUUAUCCAUUAAUCAGUUGAUGGAAAUUUGGGUUGUUUCUAUCUAUUGGCUACAAUGAAUGAUGCUGCUAUGAACAUUGGUGUACAAAUUUUUGUGUGAAUAUAUGUUUUCAUUUAUCUUGGUUAUACCUAGGAGUGGAAUUGCUGGAUCAUAUGGUAACUAUUUUUAACCUUUUGAGGAAUUGCCAGGCUGUUUUCCAAAGUAGCUGCUCCAUUUACACUCCCACCAAUGAAGGUUCUAAUUUCUCAGCAUCCUUGUCAGCAUUCAUUAUUGUUUUUUUUUUUUUAAUUUUAGUCAUUCUAAUGGAUAUGAAUAAUAUCUCAUUGUGGUUUUGAUUUGUAUUUGUCUGAUGGCUAAUGAUGUUGAGCAUCUUUCCAUGUGUUUAUUGGUGAUCUGUAUAUCUUCUUUGAAGAAAUAUUCAUUCAAAUCCUUUGCCCAUGAAAAAAAUGAAUUAUCUUAUUAUUGUUAAGUUGUAAGACUUCUUUAUAUAUUUUGGAUACCAGUCCCUUAUCCAAUGUAUGGUUUGCAAAUACUUCCUCCCCUUCUGUGGGUUAUCUUUUCACUUCUUGAUGAUGUCUUUUUAAGCAGUGAAGUUUCUGAUUUUUAUAAAGUCCAAUUUAUCUAUUUUUAUUGUCAUUUGUGCUUUUGGUGUCAUAUCUAGGAAAUAAUUGCCUAAUCCAAGAACACAAAGAUUUACUGCUGUGUUUUCUUCUAAGAGUCUUAUGACUUUGGCUACUAUAUUCAGGUCUAUGAUCCAUUUUAAGUUAAUUUUUGUGUAUGAUAUGAGAUAGGGGUCCAACAUAAUUUUUUAUGUGGAGAUAUUCAGUCUUCCCAGGACCACUUAUUGAAAAUACUAUUCUUUCUCCAUUGAAUUGUCUUGACUUCCUUAUCAAAAAUCACCAGACCGGGGCACCUGGGUGGCUCAGUUGUUAAGCGUCUGCCUUCGGCUCAGGUCAUGGUCCCAGGGUCCUGGGAUUGAGCCCCACAUCAGGCUCCCUUCUUGGCGGGAAGCCUGCUUCUCCCUCUCCCACUCCCCCUGCUUGUGUUCCUUCUCUCGCUGUGUCUCUCUCUGUCAAAUAAAUAAAUAAAAUCUUAAAAAAAAAAUCAUCUGACCAUAAAUAUAGGGAUUAUUUCUGGACUCUCAAUUCUAUUCCACUGAACUAUGUAUCUGUUCUUAUGCCAUGCCAAACUGUCUGGAUUGGUAUAGUUUUUUAGUAAAUUUUGACACAUGGAAGUGUCAGUACUCCAAAUUUGUUCUUCUUUUUCAAGAUUGUUUGGCUCUUUUUUUUUUUCAAGAUUUUUUUUUUUAAUUUUAUUUUAAGUAGGCCCCACACCCAAUGUAGGGCUUCAACUCAUGACCCUGAGAUCAAGCAUUCCAUGCUCCACCAAUUGAGCCAGCCAGGUGCCCCUGUUUGGGCUAUUCUUGUUUUGACAUUUCCAUAUGAAGUUUAGGAUUGACUUCUCAAUUUCUGCAAAAAAGGCAUCUGGGAUUUUGAUAGGGAUUGUGUUGAAUCUAUACAUAAUUUUUGGAGUACUGCCAUCUUAACAAUAUUGUCUUCUAAUCUAUGAACAUAGAUGUCUUUCCAUUUAUUUAGGUCUUAAUUUCUUUCAAUGAUGUUUUGUAAUUUUCAAUGUAUAAGUUUUGUACUUAUUUUGUUAAAUUUAUUCCUAGGUAUUUUAUUCUUUUUGAUGCUCUCCAAAUGCAAUUGUUCUCUCAAUUUUAUUUUUGGAAUGUUCUUUGCUAGUGUAAAGAAAUACAACUGAUUUUUGUUUGUUGAUUUUGAUUCUUGCAACCUUGUUGAAUUUAUUUAUUAGUUGUAAUAGUAAUUUUUAUGGAUUCCGUACUAUUUUCUGUAUACAAAUCAGGUUAUCUAUGGAUACAGUUUUUUUUUUUUUUCCUUUCUAAUCUGGAUUACUUAUUUUCAUUCUCUUGUCUAAGUGGCCUGACUGGAACCUCCAGUACAAUGCUGAACAGAAGUGAGAGUAAACAUUCUUGUUUUGUUCCUGAUCUCAAUGACAAAGCAUUCAUUCUUUAAUUAUUAAGUGUGGUGGUAGCUGUGGAUUUUUUGUAGAUGGACUGUUAUCAGGUUGAAAAUGUUGUCUUAUAUUACCAGUUUACUGAGUGUUUUUAUCAUGAAUGAAUUUAGGAUUUUGCCAAAUGCUUUUCCUGUAUCUAUUCAGAUGAUUGUGUUAUCUUUGUCCUUGAUUCCGUUGAUAUGGUAUAUUACACUGAUUUUUGCAUAUUGAAUUAACCUUGUAUUCCUGGAAUAUAUCACAUUUAACCAUGGUAUAUAAUCCUUUUUAUAUGUUAUUGGAUUCUGUUUGCAGGUAUUUUAUUAAAGAUUUUUGCAUCUAUACUUAUUAAAGAUACUGGUCUGUAGUUUUCUUAUGAUGUCUUCGUCUGGUUUUGGUAUCAGGAUAAUACUGGCCUCAUGGAAUAAGUUGAAAUGUGUUCCCUUAUUGUCUGUGUUCAGUGGAGGAGACUUUGUGAAGGAUUGGUGUUAAUUCUUUAAU